rnacentral:lncRNA from 1 species
UACAAUAAUAAUACCUUUAUUGGCAUUUCAAGUUAAGACAUUCCAAAAUGGCUUGAGAUACAAAGUCUUUCUUCUUCCUGUUUCCUGUUUCCAAGAGAUUUGAAUGGGGAAAUCCUUUCAAUUCUUCAAUAAUAAGAGGCAGUGGGGGAGGGAGGCCAGGGCCACAUCCACACCAUUUAACGUGCUAUGAAGCCACUUUAAACACUCAUGGCUAAACACCCCCAAAGACUCUGGGAGCUAUAGUUGGAAAAGGGUGCCAAGAGUUGUUAGGGGACCCCGUUCCCUGCCAAGAAGGGAACCCUACCUCUACCCCUACCCCUACCCCUGACGCUCACCCUAACUCUAGCCCUAACACUAACCUUUAAGCCUUAACUAGAGCUACAAUUCCCAGAGUUCCUGGCAAAAAGGGAACCCUAACCCUAAUCCUAACCCUGCCCCCUAACUAGAGCUACAAUUCCCAGAGUUCCCUGCCAAGGGAACCCCAACCCUACCCCUGCCCCUGACGCUAACCCUAAUUCUAACCCUUAGCCUUAAUUAGAGCUACAAUUCCCAGGGUUCCCUGGCAAGAAGGGAACCCUAACCCUAACCCAAACCCUAACCCUAACCCUAACCCUAACUAGAGCUACAAUUCCCAGAGUUCCCUGGCAAGAAGGGAACCCCAACCCUACCCCUGCUCCUGACGCUAACCCUAACUCUAACCCUUAACUAGAGCUACAAUUCCCAGAGUUACCUGGCAAGAAGGAACCCUACCCCUACCCCUACCCCAACCCCUACCCUACCCCUAGUCCUAAUACUUAACCACCAUAACAAGUCUCCGUCCCCUUAACCACCUACAGUUCCCAGAAUCCCUGAGGGGAAGCCAUUCCUGUUCAAAGUGUCUUCAUAGACCUUUCAGUGGACGGUGCACCUAAUGUGGCCUAAUGUUUCCUCCCUCAUUUUCUUCUCUCUCCCCACUGCCCCAUCACUUGCAAUGCAGCAGGUGUCCGCCUGCAGUCUCCCUUCAAAGCUCCUUCUCUCAGGUAUGGCCACGGCCUUGUCCAUUGCUCGCUGCCAGUAUUUCACGUUCACUUCUUCCUGUUUUCUGUUUCCUGUUUCCAAGAGAUUUGAAUGGGGAAAUCCUUUCGAUUCUUCAAUAAGAGGCAGUGGGGUGAGGGAGGCCAGGGCCACAUCCACACCAUUUAACGCGCUAUGAAGCCACUUUAAACACUCAUGGCUAAACACCCCCAAAGACUCUGGGAGCUAUAGUUGGAAAAGGGUGCCAAGAGUUGUUAGGGGCCCCCUGUCCCUGCCAAGAAGGGAACCCUAUCUCUACCCCUACCCCUACCCCUGACGCUCACCCUAACUCUAGCCCUAACACUAACCUUUAAGCCUUAACUAGAGCUACAAUUCCCAGGGUUCCCUGGCAAGAAGGGAACCCUAACCCUAACCCUAACCCUGCCCCUAACUAGAGCUACAAUUCCCAGAGUUCCCUGGCAAAAAGGGAACCCCAACCCUACCCCUGCUCCUGACGCUAACCCUAACUCUAACCCUUAACUAGAGCUACAAUUCCCAGAGUUCCCUGGCAAGAAGGAACCCUACCCCUACCCCUACCCUACCCCUACCCUACCCCUACCCCAACCCCUACCCUACCCCUAGUCCUAAUACUUAACCACCAUAACAAGUCUCCGUCCCCUUAACCACCUACAGUUCCCAGAAUCCCUGAGGGGAAGCCAUUCCUGUUUAAAGCAUCUUCAUAGCACUUUCAAUGGACGGUGCGCCUAAUGUGGCCUAAUGUUUCCUCCCUCAUUUUCUUCUCUCUCCCCACUGCCCCAUCACUUGCAAUGCAGCAGGUGUCCGCCUGCAGUCUCCCUUCAAGGCUCCUUCUCUCAGGUAUGGCCACGGCCUUGUCCAUUGCUCACUGCCAGUAUUUCACGUUCAC